rnacentral:rRNA from 1 species
AACGAACGCUGGCGGCAGGCUCAACACAUGCAAGUCGAGCGCCCCGCAAGGGGAGCGGCAGACGGGUGAGUAACGCGUGGGAAUCUACCCAUCCCUACGGAACAACUCCGGGAAACUGGAGCUAAUACCGUAUACGCCCUUUGGGGGAAAGAUUUAUCGGGGAUGGAUGAGCCCGCGUUGGAUUAGCUAGUUGGUGGGGUAAAGGCCUACCAAGGCGACGAUCCAUAGCUGGUCUGAGAGGAUGAUCAGCCACAUUGGGACUGAGACACGGCCCAAACUCCUACGGGAGGCAGCAGUGGGGAAUAUUGGACAAUGGGCGCAAGCCUGAUCCAGCCAUGCCGCGUGAGUGAUGAAGGCCUUAGGGUUGUAAAGCUCUUUCACCGAUGAAGAUAAUGACGGUAGUCGGAGAAGAAGCCCCGGCUAACUUCGUGCCAGCAGCCGCCGUAACAC